rnacentral:rRNA from 1 species
AACGAACGCUGGCGGCGUGCUUAACACAUGCAAGUCGAACGGGAAGUCCCUGCUUUUUUGCGGUGCUCUGGUUGCGAACGGGUGAGUAACACGUGAGUAACCUGCCCUUGACUGUGGGAUAACUUCAUGAAACUUGAGCUAAUACCGGAUAGGAGCUCCUGCUUCAUGGUGGGGGUUGGAAGGUUUCGGCGGUUGGUGAUGGACUCGCGGCUUAUCAGCUUGUUGGUGGGGUAGUGGCAUACCAAGGCUUGGACGGGUAGCCGGGCUGAGAGGGUGACCGGACACAUCGGGCCUGAGAUACGGCACAGACCAGACCGGGAGGCAGGAGUGGAGAGUAUUGCACAAUGGGAGGAAGCAUGGUGUAGUAAAGCAGUGUGGGGGAUGAGGGGAAGGGGGUUGUAAACUGAUUUCGCCUGUCACGAAGCGUGAGUGACGGUAAUGGGUAAAGAAGCACCGGCUAACUACGUG